GGUAUAUUAUUCAUCCUUCCAAAUCAAGAAACUUCAAGAAAGAAAGAAAAGAAGAAGAAGAGAGGGCCAUUCGGCCAUAGCUCCAAAAAUUGGGGUCAUAGAAAUUGAUCAAGAAAAAUUAUUUUCUUCUAGUAUUUCAACUAAUUGGAAGGUCCUCAUUAACAUGAAGGAGUUGUUGGAGUAAGCCAAGCACUAAUUUGGGUGAUUUACAAACCCUAGCCAAGUAAGAAGACAAGUGGAGGAAGACUAGCGAUAACGAGCUUGGACAAUUAAGCGUAGCUAAUAGGGCAUGAAACAGGUACACCCAGAUGAAUAGAAGCUAUUAUAGAAGAUGGUUCAGCGGAGUUGGCAAGCUCCAUUUGCUCUGGAGUGUUGCCGGGUCAGAGUACUACGCUAUGAAGUCUGGUUCGAAGUUAGAGACUUUGCAGACAGAGUCGGGGUAUAGUAUGUCAGUCUUGUAAGCGGCUUCACCAGCCGAUGUGUCUUUAUUUAUUAUGUCACAGAUUCCACAUGGUCACAGAUUUUGUUUGAUUUGAGAACAACGAAAAAGAAUAUUUCUGGAAGUUCCUAAUAUGCAUUCCAUUUUAUUUAAGAUAGAAGUCUAAAGAGAUUAAGUAUGUAAUAAGAAUCAGCGGGUAAGGUUGGGGUGUGACACAAACAAGUUGUAAAUGAUUAUGAA